GUACCCAAGCGACAGAGCAAGCGAUAUACGACGAGUUGAAAUGUCAUUUGCUCUACGGCUCACACACACAUGUACAUUUCAAGCGUUUAAUCUAUGUAGGCUGUUUGGUGCGCUAACGCAACUAUUGUUUUGAUGUUGUUUUUCUAGCCAUUUGUGUAGUUGUUGCGUUUUAUCAACAAUUCCUGAAAUAGUAGCGAUUCAGAUAAUGGAGAAAAUAAGUGCUAAAUAGGUAAAAGUGUGCAAAAAUCAUUCCGAUGCGUCGGCAUCGGCAAAAGUGAGAUGCACUGCAUUCAAAAGAUGUAAUAUUCUUCAGGAUCAAAAACGAAUUCAUCCAGGAAUGACCAGUGUGGUGGACGAAAAUGGAUACCUUCCCGAAAUAUAUUCACAAACCCGAAACAAA